UGACAGUAAGAUUCAGCACAAAUACAAAACAAAAAGAACAUGAAUCUUGUGAAGCUUGUAUAAUGGAGCAGCUGGAGUACAAACUACACAACCUGAAGAGGAAAAGUGAAAGAGGAGCUUCUUCUUUGUUGGACCGGUUAUGGGAUUUUGUUCUGAUAGAUUUAUGACCAUAUAAUACAUAACAUAAUAUAAUACAUGUUCAAUACAACAACAUUGUCAUUUUCGGUAGAACUAUUGUCCAGUAUUUUUAAUUAGUGUUUGUGGAAAUCUGGCACAAAGUUUCCUGUUGCUGGUGUAGAGUGAAAGGAUCGUGUAAUUACGCGCGUUUCUAUUACAGAUUUGCGCAAAACUUAUAGCAAUAUUUUAUAAAUAUCGAUAAAGUAUUGCGAAAUGACGGCGUUUCCAUUAACUAAUGUUAUGCGACUAAAACGUAACCUUUUGCCUCUCGCGAUAAGUCAUGCGACGGGUUUUGGCUAUAUUCAUUAAAAGCAGGUGUAUGCGUGUAUGUUCACAGAAGCAGCGCGGAGAGCCGCUGGAAGAAACGAGCACUGACUGGAGUCUCCGCUUCAAUCAGCUUCAGUGGCGCUUUUUGCGCAAUUUGGAGGCUAAUGGAAACGCACCUUUAUAUAUGUUUCAUGUCAUUUCACCUGCAAUUUUGUUCAUAAGCUUAAUUAACCUCAUCCUCUGAUGGUUGUGUCACUUCUAAUAAAACUACAGGUCAGAAUCCACACAGACACGUGAUAAAAAACAGAUGAACGCUGGAAAAAAAGAGCAUUUACUGGAAAAUAAAAUAUACUUAAUCUUCUUAUUUUGUUAACAAAAUUUUAUAUACGUAAAUGUAAAUAUUCAGGUCAGAAACCACUUUAUGUUUUGCUUGCUGAUUGCAGCAUAACUUUGUGACUAUCUUUAACUCGUGUAACAAGAAGUCUUAAUCUUUUCCUGUAAUGUGAUCUUAUGUGAUUAGUUAUAUAGCCCUGUCUUGUACCCUGUAUUAGUUUUUUUUCUCUCUUUUAUUUUUUGUUUAUUUGUUCUACAUUGUAACUGAUUUUUUCCUUUGUCUGUAUAAUGUUCUUGAUAAAAAAAUAAAUAAAAAUAAAUCAGAUGAAUGCACCAGCUGUGGGUGUGGCUAUCACCUGAUCACCUGACCACCCAGUUUCACACUGACCUUUCUGACUGGUUCUGCUUUCCUAUAUAAUGUCCACACGUGAAAGCAAAUACUCUCAAACUCACACUGACUCGACACACGAGUCAAGCAGCUGUCUUAAACAUAACUUAACCUGUCAGAUGUUCACUGUGGAUCCUGAGCUCGGCGAGACUUUCUCAUAUUCAGAGUGAUUUUAAUAAUCAUUAAAGCAGCACUGGAUAUCACUACAUGUCCUCUCGUCACAGUUUCACUCCAGAGAAGAGAUUAAUGAUUAAACACAUGGAGGCUGAAGAGAGAGAGAGAUGAAGACACAAACCAGUGAACACAUGAAUCUUGUGAGAUGCUGGAGCUUGAAUGAUAUUAGACUGAACUUCUCUGCUGAUCCACACACAGCUGUGAAGAGUCCUGAUGUAUCAAAGAGAAACACAUGUCAGGGAAGACACUGAUACAUCCUAAACAGACUGAAACAAAGUUACACUUCAGCCAAAACCGACACUCUUCCUCAGUGUCUCUGACUGGUUUUAAACAUUCUUAACUCAAGAUACAUUUACUGGAGAAGCAAAACAUUUUAAAGUCUUGUUUUCUGAAUAAUGUAGCAAUAUUAAGUGUGUUCAUGCUUAAAACAAGAACAAAUAUCUGGGGUCAGAAAAAUAAUCUUGUUUCCCUUUGUGAAAUUGAUUAUCAGAUAUUUCUUUAAAGCAUGAACUCACUUAAUAUAGAUACAUUAUUCAGACGUCAACUUAAAAUGUCCCCAUCAUGAUUUAAAGAUGUUUAGAUAUUUAUACUUAUACAAGAAAUACCAAGGAAGAACAUAAUUUUUUGUAGCAUGGAAGUACGUUAUAUUCUUUCUUCUUCAUUUGAAUACGUGUCAUUUCUUUACUACGAUUUAUAUUAUCAAUGGACAUUACUUUAAGUCAUCUCUCAUAACAAAUGACUCUUUAUUGUAAUGUAGAAGCAUGCAUCUCCUGUAAAUCUACACUUUGAAAUGAGAAAGCGCUAAACAAACUUCAACUGAAUUUCAUGCUGGCAGCUAUAAUGGUUUCAGUUGAUGCAUCGUUUCAAUCAGCAAUGAUGAAUCAGCAUGUGUGACUGUAUUAAUGGAUUGUGUUUUUAUUUGAUGAAAUCGGCACACUGCAGUCUGUUCUGGACUCUCCAGCUCCUGACAGCAUCUUUAUUUGUGAUGCAUUUCAAUGCAUUUCUCAUCUUUUGAUGUUUACUGUGCCUUCUGUGUUUGGCGUCAUAUUGCUGCUUGCACAUUUUUGUAUUAUAUUUUUGUCCUAAAUCUAAGCUAUUUAAAGUAUUAUUUUACCAUACAUACCACAGUUAAAGGAUGAACUUCCAUCUGUUAUCUGUCUUUUACGUUUUAAUAAGAUGUAAGCACAACACAAUGCAGAAUUUAGAAUUCAUGUUACUGAUGUUUUCUGUAAUAUAUACAUUUUUUCUGUAAUGUUUUUGUUUAUCAUGUUUUUAAAAACUCUACUGUAAUAGCACUGGACUGAAAAUGCAGUGUUGAUUCAGCAUUAAAAGACGCACUUUGUUAUUCAAAUAAAAUCCAUUAAACAAUGUGAUGUGAAUUUUAUUUGAUGUGCAUUACAAACUAUAUUCUGAGCAUCUCAUCAAACACAGCAGAUGAUUUAA
ensembl:lncRNA